rnacentral:rRNA from 1 species
GACGAACGCUGGCGGCGUGCCUAAUACAUGCAAGUAGAACGCACAGGAUGCACCGUAGUUUACUACACCGUAUUCUGUGAGUUGCGAACGGGUGAGUAACGCGUAGGUAACCUGCCUGGUAGCGGGGGAUAACUAUUGGAAACGAUAGCUAAUACCGCAUAAGAACAUUUACUGCAUGGUAGAUGUUUAAAAGGUGCAAAUGCAUCACUACCAGAUGGACCUGCGUUGUAUUAGCUAGUUGGUGAGGUAACGGCUCACCAAGGCAACGAUACAUAGCCGACCUGAGAGGGUGAUCGGCCACACUGGGACUGAGACACGGCCCAGACUCCUACGGGAGGCAGCAGUAGGGAAUCUUCGGCAAUGGGGGGAACCCCUGACCGAGCAAACGCCGCGUGAGUGAAGAAGGUUUUCGGAUCGUAAAAGCUCUGUUGUUAAAGGAAAG